rnacentral:rRNA from 1 species
UACAGAGGGUGCAAGCGUUGUUCGGAAUUAUUGGGCGUAAAGCGCGUGUAGGCGGCUUUGCAAGUCGGUGUGAAAGCCCUCAGCUUAACUGAGGAAGUGCGCCCGAAACUGCUUGGCUUGAGUACCGGAGAGGAUGGCGGAAUUCCCCAAGUAGAGGUGAAAUUCGUAGAUAUGGGGAGGAACACCGGUGGCGAAGGCGGCCAUCUGGACGGAUACUGACGCUGAGACGCGAAAGCGUGGUAGCAAACAGG